CAAGUGUAUGUAGUUUGUGGGGACGAAGUGUCUCUGAUCAAAAUGGUGUCAUCACAGCUGGAAACAUGCAGCUAAACUGAGUGGCCGAGUUGGAUUCAAGGGAGGAUUUUUUUACUGUCUCGACAAACCCUGCACGGAACUACCGAGGGCGGGGAUUUGUUUGACCAAGCUGAUUGGUCUAAAACCAUCUGAUAUCAUCACCAUCAUCAUCAUCAUCAUCUCGACACAAGACUCGCCAAAGAGAAGCAGUUCCAGCCAUCUCAUCAGCGAGAGCCAUGCGUCGGCGAGGCUCUAUUUUCAUCCUAAGUUUCCACACGUCCCCUGAUCAAUGACUUGAGGUCGAGCUUCAUGGUACCAUGCAUCAGAAGUGAAUAAAGGGCAGCACAGAAGACAACUGUCUCCAAUUUACUCAGAGACUGUUGAUUCAGCUGGAGCCUGCUGAAUACCUGACAGCCAACUGACAUCCUCUGUCACCGGGCGCCGGUGUGCAAUCAUGACUCAAUAAGCCCAGGAAAUCAGAGGAGCGCAAGAGAGUGAAAGAACACACAUCAGGGCCGAGCGGAGAGGAGAGCGGCAGAGCAGAGGUUAGCUGGCCUCAGGGGUUUGGGAACUCCAGCGCAUGAGCUUCAAGUUACAUCCAUCUUGUUCCAAGACCUCCCUCGAGAGUACAGUAUGUGUGUGCACAUGAGAAACCCUUUGGGGUGAGUUGACUUUUGCUAGAGUUGAUCUGCUCUCCAUGCUGCUGCCACCAAAACACGGUAUUACACGGAAUCUGACUUUUUGGUGUCGUUUUUGCCAUUUGAAAUUCUGCCCAAGAAAAGUAAUACAUCCAUGAAAACAGAAUGAUCAUUUUUUAUCAACUAUAAAGCAGAGUUAAAAAUCAAGGCAGACUUCAGUCCGUGCACUUUGCAGUUACUGCCUUCUGUCUUUAUAUUGCUGCCAAUGGCUGUAGUAACAAGGAUAGACUGGACUAAGUGGGCCAGGGUCCCAAAAGCCCAUGGUUUACUAUCUCUAUAUAAAUUUAUUUAUGGCAAAUUUGUGAGAAAUUCACACCUGUGAUGUGGAAUAUAAAAUAUGAUGUCUCAAAGACUAAACUGUUUUAGUUCAUAUAGAGCUCAGUUGUAAUAUUUUUUUUAUUUUAGCAGAUUGCUUAGAUUUUUUCCGCCUACUGUGUCAAGUAAUUAACACAGAAAACCUCAGGCAAGGUAGUAUUAUCCCAUCAUUGGAGAACUGCAAGGCUGCAACCAAAUUAUUAUCAUAUCUCUUUAAUAACAGACUGUAAAAAUGUCAGCGACAGUGAAUUAUACCUGUCAUUAUUCCCCGUAGCCAAAGUUAACAGUCAUUGUAUCUGAUCAACAUUCAGUAUCAGCCACAUUUUAAGUUUUUUCGUCCCUAUAUAUUGUGGAGUUAAUGUUAAGUCAAACAGACUAGAAAAUGGAAAGUUGGUAGCUGCUGCAUUUUUCUCUCACAUGCUUUUUUAGGUAGUUGUUUGUUAAUGAGUUUUGUGGUUCCCCCCCCGAAAAAGGUGUAAAAUUAAAAAGAACUCAUGCAGU